UGCGGGCAGCGCCGAGCUCCCGGAGGCUGCGCUUGUCUCCGCAGCUGCUGCCGCAGCUCUGGGCAGCGGGGACAGCGCAGCCAGAGCUGGCAGCGCCCUCCUGAGCCCCGGGCUCCCGCAGGGCCGGCAGCAGCAGUGACCUCUCUGCGUGUCCCUUGCAGGGUGCCAUCAGCGCGGCUAUGAAGCUGUUCCCGAGGCCGAGCUCCCAAAGGAUCUGUCAGCACUCCUGAUGUCUCGGGAGCAAGGCGCUGUUUGUUUCAGGGAAACAGAUUCUGGCAUUGGGCAGGAGGGGAGUGAAUUCUGUUCCAUUACUGGAGUUGCGAAUGAGGCCCGGGACGAGGGAUCAGCAAUAUGGAAUAUACACAAAAGAUUGCUGGGUGAAUGGAUCAGGAGCCAUCCCGUGGGCACGGCGGUGCUGAUUCUGCUGCUCCUGGUGCUGCUGCUGGCUUUGGGGGUGGCCUUGGCUGUGCUGGCAGCAGCAGCAGCAGCACAGGUUCCAGUGACACCCGAUGCUG